UAUCAUCACCUCUAAAAUGUUGCAAACCACAUCAAAUCAAUACUAACUUAAGAGGUAUCUUAUAUGCCAUAUCAUAGCUUAGCAACCAAAUCCAUCUAAUCAACAACUUAGCUAAUAGUGUCUGACUCGCCCCUCUACUGUUCUCAUUUAAUACAUAUACAAAAGGAGUAGGCUUUACCUUGGGAGUAUCGAUCAAAAGACAUAUGGACUCUUACUCAAGCAAGUUUCUGAAUACACAUGUAGUCUUAUCUGAUCCCUUUCUUGCCUCUUUCUCUCUUCUCUGAAUCUCAAUUCCAAUGAAAAAUGAUGCUGAUACAGUCCAUCUUUAUUCUCCUUCUUUUCGAUUUUCUCUCUUUUUUUUUAUCUUUCUCUCUUUUUUUCUUUUUUGACAAAGUGUAGACGAUUAGUGGGGUCAUCGCUAAUGUACCUACCUCUCGCUUCCAACGAUGUGUGAUCAUUCCUUUUAGUUAGAACAGUGGGGUCAUCGGUAAUGUACCUACCCCUCUGCAUCUCAGGAAAUCAUCUCAAUCUUUUCUUUAUAUAGAUGCCAAAGAGAGAGAGAAGGGAAUCAGAAACACACAGACUUUUACCUUCCAAGCUUGCAGGAGGAAUCCGAUCUAAUGUAUACCAAGCCCCAAGACAAGCAGAUUAAGCUCAAUUAGGUAGGAGAUCAGCUUUCGUUCCUUCAAACAUUCUCAGCAAGUGUGGAUAAUAGGUAGGUGAUCCACUUUGGUAUCUCUAAUAGACUCUGCAGUCAAUAAGUCUAAUUGAGCUACCUCUCGCUUCCAACGAUGUGUGAUCAUUCCUUUUAGUUAGAACAGUGGGGUCAUCGGUAAUGUACCUACCCCUCUGCAUCUCAGGAAAUCAUCUCAAUAUUUUCUUUAUAUAGAUUCCAAAGAGAGAGAGAAGGGAAUCACAAACACACAGACUUUUACCUUCCAAGCUUGCAGGAGGAAUCCGAUCUAAUGUAU
rnacentral:lncRNA from 1 species